UCAUAAUAACUGUGUUUUAUAUAUUUAUUAUCUAACCCUGAGUUCAUAAUAACUGUGUUUUAUAUAUUUAUUACCUAACCCUGAGUUCAUAAUAACUGUGUUUUAUAUAUUUAUUAUCUAACCCUGAGUUCAUAAUAACUAUACCACUGUGUUUUUAUACAUUUAUUAAAAUGUUUUUGUUUUGUCAAACCUGUAGUGUUCAUCAUAUUAACAUGGCAGGUCAGAGUUAACCCUUACAGAGCAUAGGUACGUUUUUUGUUGUUGUUGUUGCAAUACACAAACAUAUAUUUCUCAUACAAAUGCAAGAUACCAAAACAGAAAGCUAAUUUGAUCCUCUCUGAAGCAGCACUAAAACCGACAGUCCCUGACACAGACUUCAGGUCCUGCACGGCCUAGAUCCACUGCAUCCUGCGACUGCUGGCAUGUAGCUACAACACGCAGCCCAGCCCCACACACGUUGCAAACACACGCCAACACAUCCAUAGUCCACAUGGUACAGAUUCACAAGACAGGGAAAACAGUUCCAGCAUGAUUCAGAAUGUUUGCUUUAAAAAGAGUUGGAUUCCGAGCAGACAGAAUUGUGGGAAUCAGAGUUUCUCUGUUGAAAGAGAGGUGUUGUUGUUGCUGUUCGUCCAUUUCUGAACAGAUGCAUCCUGCUUCUCUUGAUUGUAGUCCCAGAAUCCCAGUGUUCUCUGGUGAUUGUAGUCCCAGAAUCCCAGUGUUCUCUGGUGAUUGUAGUUUCCCCCAGUCCUGUCUGGUGAUUGUAGUAUCCCCCAGUCCUCUCUGGUGAUUGUAGUAUCCCCCAGUCCUGUCAGGUGAUUGUAUUCCCCCCCAGUCCAGUCAGGUGAUUGU
rnacentral:lncRNA from 13 species